rnacentral:rRNA from 1 species
GACAGAGGUGCCAAGCGUUAGGCGGAAUCACUGGGCUUAAAGCGUGCGCAGGCGGUGACGUAAGACAGGUGUGAAAUCCCCGGGCUUAACCUGGGAACUGCAUUUGUGACUGCAUCGCUGGAGUGCGGCAGAGGGGGAUGGAAUUCCGCGUAUAGCAGUGAAAUGCGUAGAUAUGCGGAGGAACACCGAUGGCGAAGGCAAUCCCCUGGGCCUGCACUGACGCUCAUGCACGAAAGCGUGGGGAGCAAACAGG